GACGAACGCUGGCGGCGUGCUUAACACAUGCAAGUCGAACGGAAAGGCCCUGCUUUUGUGGGGUGCUCGAGUGGCGAACGGGUGAGUAACACGUGAGUAACCUGCCCUUGACUUUGGGAUAACUUCAGGAAACUGGGGCUAAUACCGGAUAGGAGCUCCUGCUGCAUGGUGGGGGUUGGAAAGUUUCGGCGGUUGGGGAUGGACUCGCGGCUUAUCAGCUUGUUGGUGGGGUAGUGGCUUACCAAGGCUUUGACGGGUAGCCGGCCUGAGAGGGUGACCGGCCACAUUGGGACUGAGAGACGGACCAGACUCCUACGGGAGGCAGCAGUGGGGAAUAUUGCACAAUGGGCGGAAGCCUGAUGCAGCAACGCCGCGUGCGGGAUGACGGCCUUCGGGUUGUAAACCGCUUUCGCAUGUGACGAAGCGUGAGUGACGGUAAUGGGUAAAGAAGCACCGGCUAACUACGUG
rnacentral:rRNA from 1 species